rnacentral:rRNA from 1 species
AUGAGCCCUGACCUGGACACUCAUACGUGUGGAGUAAAAAAAAGCAGGACGCAGAGUGAGCAGCAACAAGAAGUACUCCUAGUAGUAAGCAGACGAGAUGUGCUUUGUGUGGUGGAUAUGGCCUAACUUAGCCGACGAGGAGCCGGCUCCAAUCUCGGUCUCCUCUCUCCCUAAUCCUAGAGCUUAAUCGUGGCCAUCCGUUGCGGAUGAUGAUGCUCGCAGCGAGCGCGCUGCCCCUCCAAGGUUGGAAACGCCAGAUCUCAGCUGUUACCUACCAACAGCCACAUUCAGUCCCACGCGCUGUGUUCAGAGUAUCUGCAACAAAGAAUAAUGAGAGGAAACGGAGGCGCGCCCGGAAUCUGCCCAAAGGCCCAGCGUUGAUCGCCGAGGAAGCUUCUCCGAGCAACGGCGAAAACCCCGCCACCAUCCUCGGUCUCGAUGGCGAUGGUGAUGCUACUAGUGAUGGCAAAGUUGCAGGUGCCCCAAGGGGUGCUGUUCUUCAGUCCUGCACUCUCACAUCCGGCUUGCUGCUUGCAGCAGGUCUCCUUCUUCGUGAGGCAUCACACAUUGCAUCUUCAAAUGAAUUGCCAUUUGCUGACCCUACAGCCAUAUCAUUCAAUUUUGAAACUUGGCAUCUCGAGUUGGUCGCUGGACUCGUAAUAUUGAUAUCGUCUACCAGAUACAUUCUGCUGCAGACAUGGCCCGAUUUCAGAGAUUCCAGUGAAGCUGCAAAUACACAGAUCCUUACUUCCCUGGAGUCUCUGGAUUACAUAGUAGUUGCUUGUCUCCCUGGAAUAAGCGAAGAGUUCCUGUUUCGAGGUGCAUUGAUGCCAAUUUUUGGAUUGAAUUGGAUAAGUGCUCUAGCAACUGGUGUAUUUUUCGGCGUUCUUCACUUGGGCAACGGCAGGAAAUAUUCAUUUGCAGUCUGGGCAACAUUUGUAGGCCUUGCCUAUGGUUUAGCAACCAUAGCUUCCUCAAGCAUCAUAGUCCCAAUGGCUUCUCAUUCCAUAAACAAUAUUAUUGGAGGCUUACUUUGGCGCUUCGGAGACAACUCAGAAAGAAAAAUAUAGAUUGGAUCAUGUUGCUUCAAAGUAACAAACGUAACAGUGUUAUUGGAAAAGUAACAUACAGCACAACUGAAAACUUAGACUUUCCGAUGUACUACUUACUACAAAAUCAUGCCAAGACAGCACACCGGGAGUAUCUCCUGUCUUGUUCCCAAGAUGGGCAAAGUGAAGACACAUCCUGAUACGGUUUUACAGACUUGAUAUUACUCGCAGCACUUUUCACAAACAGGUGGAAACCUGUGGAUGUUACAGUAGCAGCAGGCCACACUGCAGUAAUUGUUGCAACCUGUAAAUAGUAUCAGUUCAUUCAAGAAAAUCAGUAACCUCAGCAUGACUUGUAACAAUGUAUGUAUUCUACGACUGUUUGAAGGCUGAUGAUGCAAAGCAAAACAUGGCGGCACAAUCUCUCCUAAUAGCCAAAAGCAUGUCAAAGCUUACAUAAGCUGCGGAAAGCAUCAUGAUAAGACAGAGAGUUUCAGCAGAUUACCAGUGAUAACAAUGUAUCCAGACGUUCGUGCGCUCCUCGAGCUAGCCGCGGGUAGAGGCGGUGCAAGAGAAAGAAACCCAAGGGGGAGCAGAAUGCAAGAGAUGAGAAGUAUCCUCAUGAAAAUGGUCUUGCAACCAGCAGGCAUCUUGAGCUUGAUUGGUUAAGCUGACGAUAGGAACACCAGGAUUAAGAUGAUACUAGCUUAUAUAUAUGCGUGGUUGUUCAGUGUCCUUUUUUGGCAGGUGAGUGUUAGGAAGAGGGAGAUCAGUAACUCAUUCCCUUUGCCAAGCCUACAUAACUUUCUGUCCAGAGGUUUGGAUACUCUUGCCAGGUAGAGUUGUUAAUUCCUGCAAGCAAGGUGUGACUGAUUGUUUUGGUUUUCAAACAAACAUGGUAAAUAUGGCAGGACGCACCGAUGAAAUGGUGAGAGCAUUUACGAAGUGCAAAAAUGCCGGAACUCCGAAGGAAUGCCAACUGCUCUCUCUGAACCUUUGCGACACUUAUUUUUGCGCAUCCAUGGGAGCACGACCUCCGCCGGCCAUCCCUCUCCACGGCGAAUCAAUCGUCGGAAAAGAUCAAAUCGAGGCAACGGCAUAUCCACAUCAAGGGGCCAAUCAAAGAGCAUUGACCCUUGCUUAUCCACCACCAUGAACUCCACGCAACCAAAUAAUCCUCGUUUGUCCUCAUUAACUUAGGUAACCAAACUGCAACCACCACCAACAAGGCCUUGUGACAAGACACGUUUAGCAUCUCAUCCCGGCAUAAUAACUUUCACGUGUCCAGGUCCGCUUGACUCGAUCCACAAGCCGCCUGCAGGUCUCAGACCACGCUAGAUUGUGCUGGUCAACACUCAACAGAGGCAGUACAAUAUAAUUCCGCUGAAUGCUGCACGAGAAGCUCCGGCUCCAGAAGCUUGACAAGCAAGAAAAGCUAGACGUUCCUUAAUUAUAUACUAUCUGCAGGUCCGUUCAUGCAUGGACUACCAAAAAGGCUUGUCAUGCCAACAGUACAGUCUCCGAGAAACUGCAUCUGAAGUACUCCUACUAGCCAGAAACAUGUGGGUCUUAGAGGGAUUCUGUCAACUUUGCUGUUUGUUUCACUGGAACUGGAAAACACAGGUAAUCCUAAUGAACAUUGCCAAAGGAAAACUUGGGUGUUUUUCCUUUGAAACCGGGAUCACAGGAAAAAAUCCCUCCAAUUUUCCUUCGCCC